UGUAACACGGGAACCCAUGAAGAAGAUGGCGGUUCUCAGCCUACAUGCAUCUCACAUGGGUCCUCUUCCUUCAGAGGGGGAGGGUCACAGGUACAAAUCACAUCCUGCCCCCAAGGAGCACCGGCUGCCUCAGGCUGACCACGUGUGGACCAGAAUUCUGAGUCACCCGGUGCUGCAAACCAGAGGCCUCGGGAAGCUAGCCCCAGCAGCAGCCAGCAGCCAGACGACUUACAUGCAAGGCUCAGAGCUUCUGAGAAAAGUACCUUGCUCCAAACUGUCCCCGGCUCUCAGGAUGAGUAAACCCAGCAGCUCUGAGCCUCCAAUUUCAAGUGAGCCCGAGGUGCUAGCCAGGCAAUGGCAUCCUGCUGGUGGGAGUGGGUGGAGCAGCUUGCACCAAGGCCCGAGGUGGUGAAGGAACCACCUACCUUCAGCUGUGCCCUAGGGGGAUGUACAUCUGCAAGAUCUAAGCAACACAGGACAGUGCCGUGGGGCCCAACUCGGGCACCCUCUGACCCCAGCACCCUUAUCUACCAGGCACCUCGGGUAGGCGAUGAUUUCAAUAACCUAGAGCUCUGUCCAGGGGCCUAAAGGGCAGGGUUGUGGGUCAGGUGCACAGGAGAUACCACUUGGGAGAUGGAUAGCUGGCCAGUCAAGCUCACCUUUGGAGUAUCUAGAAGCAUGGCAUACAGGUCUUGUGCAGGCCUCAUACUUGGAUAUAUGUCACCCCACUUUGUCCCAUCUGAGACAUGUUAGCAAGAACCAGUGUGCACACUCGACUUUGGAUAGGUCAGAGUAAGACCCUGGGUACAUGCCUAGUAACACAGCCUUCUGGAAGGUAGGUCCUCGUAGUAUGUCUCCACCCACAGGGACUCUGUCUGUCUGUGUCUGUCUGUCUGUCUGUCUGUCUCUCUCCGUGUGUGUGUGUGUGUGUGUGUGUAGGUGUAUAGGGAGACUGGAGAUGAAUCUCUGGUAUUGAUGCUCAGGGCUGUCCUUGGAUGCUUCCUGGUCAUAAGGCAGAGGAUGGUACCCUGAGCUAUAGGCCACACCAUUCAUCUGUUUGACUAGCUCUUUUCCUUGACUGUGCUAAAGAGCGCAUGAUCUAAGAUUGACCUAAAACUCAGUGGAGUUCUGGGGGCUGGAGAGCUGGCUUAGUGGAGGGCCACACAAGCAGAAGACAGAGAGGACCAGCUGGUUCCAGGACCCACAAGGGGUCUAACAAGUCACCACAGCUUAUGUAUUAUAUCCCAUAAACAGUUGACACAAGUGUGUCACGGCUAGACAGAAACUGAUAAGGGGACAAGGCCCAGGGAGAGCCCUGCUCUGGUGUGAGGAAGCCCCUGAUAGCCCCUGUGGGCCACAGGCCCAUGGGGAAGAAUGGACAUCUCAGCAGAUGGGACUAUGAGUCAGAAAACCAUGGCCCUGGAAGCCAACCCUACGUAGAACGGUGCAGGGUGACAGGAGGGCUCCUGUGCCUAGAAGUGACACAGUGGAGUCUCUUGAUGUCAGGGGAGAAAGGACCUUUCAUUGGCCCUUAAACUUGGUGAACUCAGAACCCCUGGUGGGUUGUAAAAGCGUGGGCUGAGGCCCAACAGUAUUGAUCCUGCAGGACAGAGUGGGGCCCUGCAUGUCUUUCAAGCUCUGGGUGACCCUCUGCUGCCAGUUGGUGACUAUGUGGAGAGGAUUACCAGAAUCCCAUUAAGUACAGAGCUUUUGGAAAUGAAUUUAGCUAAAGAGAACUCAGAACUGUUCACCAAAAAACACUAUUUAACAUACUUCAGUUAAGCAAAGAAAUGGAAAGGUGUGAGGCUGGAGAGAUGGCUCAGUGAUUAAGAGUGUGUACAUCUCUCCCAAAGACCUGAAUUUGGUUCCCAGUACCCACUUUAGGCAGCUCACCCUGUAGCUCCAGCUGCGAGAAUCCGACGCCCUCUUCUGACUCCUGUGGGUACCUGCACUCAUGUGCACAUACCCACGUAUACACAAAGAAUAAGAAAUGGAAAGGGGUAUCAGUGGCCUCUGACAGGGCAGAGCAGCGAGCAACUUUGAUACUGAUACAACCACCUCAUGAGAUGAGCCUGUUUCCAACACUGGAAGAGUACACACUCCAUUACCAAGCAACUCCACAGGCAGGUGAGACAUGACUCUGGACACACAUACCAGGAGGAAAAGAAAAAUUCCAGACAGCGCUGUCUCUAACAGCAAGGAGAAAGCACCUGGAAACAGCAGCAGGAUGGGGAAGUGAGCAGUGUGGCGGAAUACUGCGAGGCUGGAAAAAAGGUGUGUGUGUGGGGGGGGGGGGGUGAUUGCCGCAUCACCUAAGGUGGAGAGCAAAAGCAAAUUCCAGGAAACUCCGUGGAGAAGGCAGCUUGGCAGGAGCGGUCUCAGGCCUGACAACCAAGCGCACAGUUCAGACACCUGAUCUGAGACAAAAGGAAACCACACACAUGGAACUCAGGGGGUGAAGGGUGUGUUGAAGACAUGCAGAGUCCAGGCACCACGCUUGCCCAAAGCCCAGGAGCUGCCGCGCUGAUGAGGCAGGCUGGAUGUCAUCAUGGCUGGAUUGGUGCCAGCUCCUCACUGAUAAGGAAUACCACACACAAACCCUGGAAGAUUAUACAGCUCAGCCACCUCUUACAGGGAGCAAGGUGUCACAGAGAGGGGCAGGGCGGGACUACGUAGAAAGUGACCUGACACCAGGCUGGCCAGAGUCUGCCCUCUGCUUGGACCCAGGAUGAAAUAUAUACAUCACACACAUGACAAUGUAACUAAUCUGUAAUAUGUAAAAUACAUAUUCUUGAGUAUAUAUUACAAAUGCUGUGUUAUCUAUAACAAGCAUUCACAGAGCAAUUAAUUGAAACUGUGAAUGCUGCAUUUUAUGUGAAAAUUUUCUCACUUUCAGGAAGGACAGUGGUAAAAAGUAGGAAAUUUUUUAAAAUUCCUUAGGUUUUGGAGACGAGGUCAGGGAGCCCAGGCUAGCCUCAGACUCCCUCUGUAAACCAGUGAUGAUGCUGAACUCCCGAUCCUCCUGCCUCUACCUCACCAGUCUGGGCUGGCAGGCACACCCACCAUGCUUGUCAUGUGCUGCUGAGGUGGAGCCCAGGGCUCCCUGCGCUCCGCUGACUGAGCCACAUCCCCAGGCUCCUUUAGAGAGUCAUGACUGAGGGGGUUAUGUAGCCAGACAGCUUUUUCUAAACAAAGAGGAGCUCAGCGGUCAGAGGGACUCUGGUUUAAAUUUGCACUCAAGGAGUAUCAAUCGGUAGUAUGCGAUUUUGAUUCUUAUUUGUUCAUGUAGUUGAUAAAACACGCAAGUCUUCAUCUACACACAUGCCUCUUUCCUGCCUGAAGCCUCGGGCACAUCACUAAGCAGAGGAAGACAGGGUAGGAAGUCCUUAUUUAGAUCCAACCGAAGACAAGGGACAAAAGGACCUGCUCAAAUCGGCCAUUCAAAUCUUAAAACAUCAAUUAUGUUAAGGCCAUGAGUUCAUAAUGGCUCCAAAUAAGUCUCACACACACAACUCCAACUGAUCACCAGGGAAGGAUGUUAACAAACCGACCUAUUAUUUUUAAAAUGGUAAAUAAUGGAGAAGAAUCGGGGCAUUCAUCUGGCUUUCCCAUCCGUCUGAAUUCUCCCAUUGUGGGUGCAGGGAAGUUUCCCCUUAUAGCUGUUUUCCAGCUUACCGGAGAGGAAGGGUUGGCUGGAGGGGAACAGAGCAUUACCCAGUGCAGUUAGUGUCCCAGGGGAUUUGUGGGGGGACGCAUUCCCUAGCAAGCACUACUAACCUCCCAGGACAGAGGCCACCUGAAGUCCCCACCCCUCCCAACGAGGAUACACCACCUUCUGUGUCUGUCAAUAAUGCUAACAUAAGUGACUUCCAGAGGCAGAGGACCAGGCUGAACCCCACCCCCACCCCCACUGGAACAAGAGAGACAGAAAGAAACUAGGCCAGGAGAAACUCCAUAGGACAAGUCACCAUGUUCAUGUUUCUUGCAGUAAAAAUGGUUGACUAAAUGCUGUGAUAGGCCCAUCCUUAUCAAACAUUUGGGGAGCUAUUUAAGAGAGGAACAAUGGAGCAGUGUGGGGUAAGUCAGACUUAGAACAAAGGCAGCCACUCUCUUGAGCGAAUUCUAACGCAAACGCAUGAUAAAAUCAUAAAAGAAAACAAGAUGGUCUGGGAGACAGCCCGACAGUAAAGUUCCUGCUGCAUGCAGGACCCAGAACCUAUGUAAAAAGUCUGGACAUGCUGGCAUACACCAACAGUCCCAGUCCUGGGAAGACAGGUGGAUCCCUGGGGUUCAACUGCCAGCCAGAUCCGUGAGCUCCAGGGUCAGUGAGAGAUCCCCGACUCAAAAAAUGUAAGGUGACAAGUGAGAGAGGAAAAGACUAGAUACUGACCCUCUGACCUCCAGGGACAUAAGAGCAGGGAGAGAGAGGGAGAGAGAGAGAGAGAGAGAGAGAGAGAGAGAGAGAGAGAGAGAGAGAGAGAGAGAGAGAGAGAGAUUCGAAGGUCCUCCAGCCAUGAGGAGGAAGGCAGCAGGUUGACAGAGGCAGUGAGGGCUUCCAAGGUCCCCACCUGUGCGGGUCCUGCCUUAGGCAGUCACAGGGUCAAUGAUGCUUCUGAAGUGAAUCACAAAUUUAAAUGGCUAUGAGUCCCCAUGGGAAUGUGACCAAGGCCAGCCAAGCACAGGACAACCAGCAGAUGGUGUGGUGCUAAGUAGCCAGACGACCCGUCUUCCACCACGAUGCAGGAGGCAAGUGGUGGGGCUGUGGGUGCAGGUGAGUGGCUGUGUCACAGGAGACCACUAUGCCUGGGGGCCUGCCUUGCCUUUGACUCCUGAUAGCUGCCGAGUGGAAUGUGGGCUGAAAGGAGCCAGAUCCUUGGCUUUUCUAAGGGACACUGGAAACCUAUUUUCUGUACAGUUCCCCACUUCCUUAAUGCUGACAUCUAAUCUAAAAACAAAAACACACUGUGUGGGUAGGCCAAGCAAAAUUUUCAGGCUAACUGCACCCAGGGAACACCAGUUCCCCCCAACACACACUUCCCACAUCUGAGAGCUGACUACAACCCAAUCCAUGUGUUAGGAAGACAUGGCGAGAGCUAUUUAAAAUCAGUUUGGGGUCAAUUCAUUUUUAGGUGCCCAAUAAAGCUGGGACUUAAAAGACCCCAUCAACUCCCAGAACUCUGUGAGCACCAGCCGCUGGCCAGUCCACAGGCAUUCCACCAUCCUCCGUUUACACAACAGAACCUCCACUUCAUCGAGACUUGGAAAACCAAGAGCCAGGGAGUGUCCCUCCAGCUUUUCUGGGACAGCAAAAUCGAAGGGCCACAGAUGAAACUCAUUUGUUAGUUCACAGCACGCACUUUAGUCCAAAGUGCCUGCAGCCAAUGGUCCUGCCACAAACUCAAGCUGGGUGCCCCACGCUGGAUGCAAUGGGAGCCAGGGGCUGUCCGCUCUGCUCACCUGCCCAGAGAUCUGGCUUCAGAGACGUAUAGAGGGUGAAACAGACAUCAGUCCAAGCCCGACAGGCUUUGUGCCUAAGGACCGGAGCAGACACCGCUCACGCCCGACCCUGAGUGUCUUCACCUACAGACACAGAACGGAUGGUGUGGAUGAGCAAAGCAAGCCUGGCCCUUCCUUUAUAAAAGGUCUCAAUGUGACUGGAUCCCCAGAUCAGUAAAAAAUUAAAGAGGUGUCAAAAACACCGUGGGAAAGAGCCAAGUCGAUGGUUUAAUCAUUCCCCAAGACCCAAGCCCUUCUCCAGGUGCUAAAUCCAAGUCCAGCGCAUCCAGGGCAAGAAGCAAGUCCAACAGAAUGGUAGAGGGCAAAGACCAAACCCAAACAGCAGCUCUGUGGGAUGGGAAAAACCUACAAAUUCUUUACACAAGAGGCACAGGGUGGGGGCUCAGCCCCUGGGAGAGCAAAAUUCCACCAGCUGUCCAAAGUGAAUUUACGGCUGGGGAGGGAAGAGCAGAGAAAAGUAUAGAAGGAAGAUUCGUCUAACUGCUGGCCAGUCAGAUCCUAGCCUGGAGCCCCUUUUUGGGGUGUGCUUAUGCCCAGAGAGGUAGGCUACAGCUAGAACAUAUAUUUGAGGGAAAUAAACAGGUAUUUAUAUAUUACAUAAACACACAAGACUACUUUAAGUGUGGCCUGGGAGAUGGGCCCAGCACAGUCUACAACACUCUGUGUCGUGACACCCCAGGUUUCCCCGAGAGGCUGUAACAUCUGCCCUGAUUCAAGUGAGGUACCAGGGGCUCCUGCACACCGUGCUAAGACACAGUGGCAGCUGGGCCCUUCUGCCUCUGUCCUAAUAGGAACUGAAGUAUAGAGAGGUCGCUGUGACUUCCUUUGUCCAGCCGACCCCCUUUUCCCACUUGUGACUGUAGGGAAACAGCCUGCGAGGAGGUGGCUGAAAACAUCUACCUCUCAGAAUCCCAGAGAGAGGUAGAGCUUGCUGGAGUCUGGCAUCAGCAGCUGGAGGCAGCUUCGUGUUGUGAGCCAGAAGCUCGGAGUACACAGAGAAUAAACUGAAGGUCUAAGCGGCACAACAACAACGUGAGGUACUAACGGGCAGGGUGGAGGUACACUGAGGCACAAAACUGAGGCACUGCUGGGAGAGGAGAGACUCAGGUCCACUACAGGCUCACUUAAGUGAUCCUCAAAUGGUAACCCUCGUCAUCUUGGUGGGUUUGCCUGGGCACAGGUGGGGUUUUCUGAACUUUGGAACUUUUUUAGGAGCCUUUGAUUCUUAGAAUAAUCUUGAGCAUCGGAAGCCAUCUUCACUACAGAGCGGGCACCACAGAGAACAGACACCCAGGGAGGAAGCCCAGUCAGAACCUCUAGACACGACAGACCCCAAAUUGAGACUGGGCCCAUGAGCCAGAACGGGCCCUGCUUGCCAUGGGACAGGUGUGUAAGACACUGUCCUCGAUGUUUAUGACAGCAACUGAUCUCGCACUGCCCGUGCAUAGGGAGUGUGUGUUGCUGCUUCUGUAGAAGGUGAGGAACUUGGAUCAGCAUCUGUUCAUGGCCCAGGACUCAGGACCCAGGACAAAAGUUCCCAAGGUGAACGGCAACUGUCCCCAAGGCACUGGCCUUAAUUCUUUACAAGAGAAGGGGUGAAAACCAAAACCAAAAACCAAAACCAAAACAAACAAACCAACAAACCCUCACUUACUCCUGGUCCUCAUACCCGUAGAGGGUGGUGGUACAUAAACACAGUCUGUUUGUAAUGCCUGUGUCCCACGGCUCAGAGACUAAGAAAACAACAUCAAAAUCGGAAAGAGGACUGGGGAUGUAACCCAGGGGUAGAGCACUUGCCUGGAAUGUACAAAGCGCUGGGUUUAAAUCCCAGUAUGCACUCCCAUACACAAAGCUAUGAAGAUCCAGGCUGUAAUUUUGGGAUGACCCACUUGUAACACAACACUAUUGAUUUGGGGGUGGAUGUUAAUAUAGUUCAAUAUUUAAAUAUAGUGGAAAAUACUGUUUUCAUCCCAUGUCUACUGCUCAUGCAUUUCCUAUGAAGAACACGAGCUGAACAACUUUCAAAACAGCACUUCCCGCGCCCAUAGACGCUUGCUCACAUGUGUGCAUGACGUAGGCUGUCCCCACAGGUCAUGUCCAGGCUCCAGCCAGCACCAGACCACAUCCUCUCUCCCCAGGAGGCAGAAAGACAUCAAGGAUGCCCGUUGAGUUGGGCCCCUGCUCCUUCUGCCCCCACAGUCUCCUUCCUGUGGCUCAGCCCCGAGGGUGCACCCAUGCCCCCAGGGCCUGUGGUGGACUUGGUGGUGAGCUGGCCUAAUGACCUUCAAACCACAGUUCAGCUGUGGCAUCAGCAUGGUUCCUAGGAGGCAUUAUCAAUGGUGAGAGUCACAGGUGACAGUCACUUCUGAGUCCCCUUUCCCUGGCAUGGCUCCCAAGGGCCUGCAUCCAGGCACAGAACCACAGCCCCUCCGCGUUCACACUAAGGAAGUGGUGGAGGUUAACCUACACUCUUGCCCUACUUUGGCCCUUCUAGAUGCGUCUCGAACAACCCAACUUGGGGAAAGAUGCUCACCUCAGCUCCAUCUUCUUCCUGCUGGGGAUUCACCUUCACCAAAGUUAGCUGUAUCUAAAAUGAAUGUGCAUCCCAGGCACACACUCUGAGAGUCUCAGACUACAGACCAUAUCGGGCCCUAUGAAUACUUUGUGUUAUCUAAAUGUGCAAACCCGUGAAAACAAUUUCCAAACUAGACCACUGACAAUAAAAGAACCAUUAUAGGAAAAAUUGUGUAAAACUGUUUCUUUCCAGAAUUUUCCAUCUAAUAUUUUGGACUAAAGUUGAACAUAAUAACCUGAAACUGAAGAACAAAAAUUCAAAGAUAAGGGGGUGGGGAUGACUGUAAACUUUUGGUUGUCCUGGAAACAACACGUGAACUUGACUCUCUCCUUCCAACCCUUGCCUCCUUCACGACUGUUUCUCAAAGGCAGCCAGAGCCACCUUUUCCAAAAAUACCUAGAUUACCGCUGCAGAAAACCCCCAACACCACCUGCUGCUCUGACCUCAAGGCCACCAUCACCUGCUGUUCCCACUCUCCGCCCGCCCGUCCCCCCAAAUGCUCUCCCUUCAGACCUUCCAGCUGCCAUCCAGCUCCCAACCUGUGUGACUUUCCUCAUUUGUCAUGAUUCACUCCCUCAGACAUUGGCAUCUACACUUACAUCUGUCCCUGAACAGAACAAAAAUGCCCCAAGACAAGGCUUUGCUUCUUAUCUCCCACCCCCACCGCCCCGUCCCCAAAACGCCUAGGGCAGAGCCUGGCUCAGGAGGAGCCAGCAAAUACUUGGGGAUCUGGGCAUGAACGGUGGGAGAGAUCAGGGGCCAAGGACCCAGGGGGAUGAAGUGAGAGGAAAGGGAGAGCUGGAGAGGACAGCGGAGGGACAGCGGAGGGACAGAGGAGGGACAGAGGAGGGACUCAGGUACUGGAGCAGCAGUACUACGUGCAGCCUGAACUACCCAGGUACAAUCUGGGGCUUUAGGAAGAGAGAGUAGGUCCACCAGCGAGGACAGAGCAGGUCAGCAUUUAGGGACAUAUCAAGGGCAGGUGAAGGGGACCCACUGCAUCUGAAAUGUCACACAUUUCCCGUUUCAAGGAGACUUUUGUAAGCAUCUUUACCCACCAGAGUAGGAAAAGUAGAUGAGCUCUCGGCCCAAGAAGGAAUAGGCCCAGAAUCGUCAAGAGCACGCAGGAAUGCAACCCAGAAGAGGGGCACUUGGUCAUGGGCCAAGUUUGGAGACACUAGGGUAUGGAGCUCCUUGCACCCAGGGGAGAGGCUGGGCAAACUUCCAAGGCCAAUGUUUGCCUCUGUGCAGAGAUUCAUGUCCACUGUCCCCUGCUCACACACUGCCAGUGUGUGACCUCUGUUCUGGGCUACCAGCUGUGGCUUCAUGGAGAGAGACCCCUUUAAUGACAGCUGAAAGGACCCCAAACCCAGUCACCCUCAGGCAGAUAGAAGCAUGUCUUGAGUCUAUCUGUCUGCUUUAAACCCCAAACAACAGAUCAAGAACCCUAUGCCACAGAGGAACGUGUGCAGGGUCCUGGGUGUAGGGCCAGGCCUCUCGGGAGGACCCAAAGCCCUGGCAGCCAAGAGCUAAACUGCAUCCACAUUUUCUGAGUUCACCCUGGAGCACAGUAGGGCCACACCGAGCAGAGCUUUGGGAACAAAGUAAGCCAAGCCCCAAACAAACUGGCCAGUGACACAGUGCAGCCUUGGGGACACAUGGCUCAGACCCAGGGGUAAAGCAUAAAUGGAGAAGCCUGAAUAUAGCAUUUGAGGGACCAGCGCUGGACUGCAGGAUCAGACCUGCUGUGGGCCACACCUCCAGGGCUGUGUGGGCUGGCAGAGGACGACAGAGACCCUGAGAAUGGCUUCCCUCAAAGUGUGUAAUACACUGCUGUCUAGGAAGUGCCAGGCACCUCCUGGUCUUACAGAUUUUUUUUAAUGUCAACCAGGACAGUCAAGGCUCUGAGAAGUCCCACAACAAGCCAACCUUUUCACCUUUUAAAGCCACAGAAUCUUCUAGCAGAGGAUUCUCCCCAGUUACCAGGGUGGGGGGGAUGAGGGGGCCACACACACACACACACACUGUGAAGAGGUACUGAAGAAAAGCCUCCUCCUGCUGGGGAAGCCAUCUGUGCUCAAAUCUCUCCCUGUCUGAGGGCUGAAUCAUGAUGGGGGAGGGGAGCUCACCCCAACACACCUGUGAGCCUGUCUGUGUCUAGAAAGCCAUCUCUGGAGGCCCCACAAGGCCCCCAUACCCAGCUGCUUCCUCUGUAACAUGAGCCAUCCCAUUUGUACAUCUGUGGCUGUGGCGGACUCAGGGGACCACCUCUGACCCAUCCAGGUGUCUCCCUACAGUUCCAUAACUAAGGUGACUGGCAUUCAUCGUUAAUGCAGGACCAUGGUGAGGACGGGAGGGGCCGGCACGUCUCUGUUCCCAGAGACCAAACCAACGCCUCCCCAGAGGCUUCUGGGAAACACCCGCCCUGUUCAGACACCUAAAGCACCUUGCCUCCAAUGGGGUCAGUCCCCCACCUCCACAUGGAGUGAGGCCAGUUCCACUCAGGGCUCUGGGAGCGGCUGCCAUUGGCUGCUGCUCUGUUGAGCUCUUUGCCAACAACCCUCUUUAAACCAAGCAGUAAGGCUGGCUCUCACCGCGACGUCUAGCAGUCACAGAUGAGCGUGCCCAGGUCACCUCCCAGCUCUCCGUCAUUGCUGCACUUGAGCACCAGGCUCCAUUGGUUCUUCACACAGCAUUGCUAUUGGGUUGGUCUGCCCAGGCCUGUGGGGCAGCGCUUCAGAAAGUGUCCCAAAAGGUCUGUGGUUUAACUCUUUGGCUGAUAGUUCCAUCAGAGAGACGGAAGCUGUUAGAAGUCUCGGAACACCCAGGUAGCCAGUCCGGACAAGACUUCAAAGACUCUGAGCAAACACAGCAUAAUUGCCUGUCACCCACAUACCUGCCAUCAGUCCCAGGCUCUAUGGUAACCACAGCAACUGUUCUAGAGCACCCUACCCUGGUCCCCGCUGGGCUCUUGGGAGUUAGCAGUCCUAAGUUAUUGUGCUUUCAGGGGUAGGAUGGACAUCCUCAAUCCAAAAAUCCAAAAUGCUCUAAAAUUCAAAACUUGAAUAUCAAAAUGAUUCCUAGGAAGUUUCAAAUUCUAGAUUUCUCCAGAUUUCAGAUUUGGGGGUUAGGGAUGUAGAAAUGAUAACACAGUGUUGCAGAGGAUCCCCAAACCCAAACCACGUUUGUCCUGGAGGUUCGGAAUGAGAGACACUCCACCAGGAAUCAGAUGCUACUGCCCAUGAGCUGUGAGCUGGAGCUGGGGGCAGGGAGCAGCCGGCCACUUAGAGUUUCUUCCUCCAAUUCAGAAACCUCCAUCCCAGAUUUCUGAUUUUCUGAACCCUCAAAAGGAAGAGAAGUCUCCUCUGCCUGCCCCACCCUCUCUGCCUCCUGGGUGCACCUUACUCAUCUCAGGUGAGUGUGGCCUCCCUCAGAGCCCAAUCAACCCAUCUCAGCUGCUCUGACAAGCCAUGCCUCGGCCCAGGCCAUGUACCCACAAGCUGGGGGCACCUUCCCACAAAGCCUUUUUCCAUCCUCUCCCUGGCCCUGCCACCCCAUCAGCUGAGCUCGCCCCAGCGGAAGCCCAUUGCUACCCCCCAUCAAUGGUCCCUGUGUCCCAGCAGCACGUGCCAGAGCUGCCCGCAGCCCCAUUCAUGGUCCUGAUAGAGCCCCUUUCAAAGCUGGGCUCCUUCCUCGCUCUCCGCCCCUCCCCCACGCACAGAAGAGGGGCAUAAAGUGGGAUUUUCCUCCACACGAAAGAAAGGACUCUUCCUUCCUUUCUGUUUUCCUGCCGUCCAUCUAAAUCUGGCCACGGAAGGAGUAUGGACGUGCCCUCAGGUUAAAAUGGAGAUACUGAGGCCCAAGGAGGUGGCAGGGUAGAAUGGGCCACAUGGGGGCUUCCGGGACAGGGACACGGAGCAAGCACAGCUUCUUACCGUCAUCCAGCUCUUUGGCUCAAGGCAGUCUGUUGUUGGAUGACCGUGGGGUAAGAGCCUGGGCUCAGCCUCUGACCUUGGUUGAUGGACGGUGGGACAGGCCUGGCAGAGCUGGGGCCAAAGUUUUCACAGUACAUGAUAUGCUGGAACUCCUGGUGCCCCCCGCCACGGAGCUGCUGGUUUGUGGAAUUUCAUGAAUGAGACUUUCUGCUCUGGCUGUGCCUCAAGUGACUCCACCCAUGUGCGGACAGUCAAGGACCCUGAGAAUUCUAGAGCAUGUCCACCUUGACCCUGAAUGUGAUCAAACCUAGGACAGGGAAGGACAGCAAGAGACAUCUGCCUAGCAAAUGCCCCACCACCAAGGUCAACAUGGAUGACACGGCAGCUGGCAUCAGGGGAGCUAUUCUUACAGGGAAGAGCCUUCCAACCCAAGAGAAAACUGAGGCUCAGAGGGUGCGAGUCACUUGGCCCAGAAGUUCACUUUCACGGGUACGCGGAUGUGCUUGUUCCGAUACUCGGGGAUCUCAACAAAAAGCAUGUUCUAGAAGGAAGCAGUUGUCAUGAACUUGACAAUAUACAGCAUGCUAGGAUUCCUACUGGGAUCCCAACCAAGUCCACCCAGGCCCACCUACAGCAAGCGGGCCGUCUGGCUUCCUUCCCUACAUUUAAAGAGAAAUUUGAUGGAAGGGAAUUUAAUUUUCAUCUCAGCAAGGGAAGUUGAUCUAGCAGAGUGUGUAAAGAUGUCAUGGUCACAAACCAAAGGGCCUGGGGCUCAGCUGGCUCUUGUCUUUAUCCACCGUGGCUUCCAUCUCCCAAACCUGCUGCCCAUCUGGAAAAUACAAAAACAACAGCCUUUGAAGGAACCAGGAGAAGCCAAAGAUGAGAGAAACGUGUUGCCAACAGAAAACUUAGCAGAGAAAGAUCGAAAACUCGGAGGAACCGCAGACUCCACCACCAUAAUCUCUUCCAAUCCAAACGCCUAUUUCUCUGUCUUAAAAUAAAGUCACAGUUCUCCAUGGCA